GACGAACGCUGGCGGCGUGCUUAAUACAUGCAAGUCGAACGCUGAAGGAGGAGCUUGCUUCUCUGGAUGAGUUGCGAACGGGUGAGUAACGCGUAGGUAACCUGCCUUGUAGCGGGGGAUAACUAUUGGAAACGAUAGCUAAUACCGCAUAAGAGUAGAUGUUGCAUGACAUUUGCUUAAAAGGUGCAAUUGCAUCACUACCAGAUGGACCUGCGUUGGUUUAGCUUGUUGGUGGGGUAACGGCUCACCAAGGCGACGAUACAUAGCCGACCGGAGAGGGGGGGUGGCCGCACUGGGAGGGUGACACGGCCCAGAGGGCUACGGGAGGGAGCAGUAGGGAAACGUGGGCAAGGGACGGAAGUCUGAGCGAGCAAGGCCGAGGGAGUGAAGAAGGGUGUCGGGUGGGAAAGGUCUGUUGUAAGGGAAGAAAGAGUGUGAGAGUGGAAAGUUCACACAGUGACGGUAUCGUAUCAGGAAGGGACGGCUAACUACGUG
rnacentral:rRNA from 1 species